GACGAACGCUGGCGGCGUGCUUAACACAUGCAAGUCGAGCGGUAAGGCCCUUUCGGGGGUACGACGAGCGGCGAACGGGUGAGUAACACGUGGGUGACCUGCCCUUAGCUCUGGGAUAAGCCUGGGAAACUGGGUCUAAUACCGGAUAUGACUCCAUGACGCAUGCUGUGGGGUGGAAAGCCUUGUGCGGCUAGGGAUGGGCCCGCGGCCUAUCAGCUUGUUGGUGGGGUGANGGCCUACCAAGGCGACGACGGGUAGCCGGCCUGAGAGGGCGACCGGCCACACUGGGACUGAGACACGGCCCAGACUCCUACGGGAGGCAGCAGUGGGGAAUCUUGCGCAAUGGGCGAAAGCCUGACGCAGCGACGCCGCGUGAGGGAUGACGGCCU
rnacentral:rRNA from 1 species